rnacentral:rRNA from 1 species
AUUGAACGCUGGCGGCAUGCCUUACACAUGCAAGUCGAACGGUAACAGGUCUUCGGCUGCUGCCGAGUGGCGGCCGGGUGCGUAAUACAUCGGAACGUACCCAGACGUGGGGUAUCACGAGGCGAAAGCUUUGCUAAUAUCCCCUACGAUCUCAGGAUGACAGCAGGUGACCGCAAGGCCUCUUCCGUUCGGAGCGGCUGAUGGCAGAUUAGGUAGUUGGUGGGAUAAAAGCUUACCAAGCCGACGAUCUGUAGCUGGUCUGAGAGGACGACCAGCCACACUGGGACUGAGACACGGUCCAGACUCCUACGGGAGGCAGCAGUGGGGAAUUUUGGACAAUGGGCGAAAGCCUGAUCCAGCCAUGCCGCGUGCGGGAAGAAGGCCUUCGGGUUGUAAAGUGCUUUUGUUGGGAACGAAAAGGAGCUGGCUAAUACCUGGGGGUCAUGACGGUACCGUAAGAAUAAGCACCGGCUAACUACGUG